CUGAACUCAUAUUUGGUAUUUUGGCAUUUUUCAUCUCUUUAUCAUUCGGAAAAGGGUAAGUACAGUAAUGUGCUUAUCCAAGUUAUUCGUACGUAGUAUAAAUAUCUCACCAAAUUAUAAUCAUGAAAUAGUGUUCCAUCAGAGUCAUAUCUGGCUGAAAUAUAAUAUUUUGAUCGUUAUGAAGAAUACCAUCUUUUCUAUUUUCUUCUUGAUGUUUCUUUUUGAAACAUUCUCCUCUACUAUUCCUAUAGAACCGAAAGGGGAAAUUCUUCAUAGAGUUCGCAGAUUCACUUGUGAUGUCUUGAGUAUCGAAGCAGGAUUCGUCAAAAUUAGCCACGCUGCAUGUGCAUUACAUUGUGUCGCCCUUGACUACAAGGGAGGAUAUUGUAACGACAAAACAGUUUGUGUCUGUAGAAAUUGAAGAUUGAUUUGCUAUGUAAACAUAUAAUAUAAGAUAAUAAUGUACUUAUUCA